rnacentral:rRNA from 1 species
ACUUUUAAUUCAACAUCGAGGUCGCAAUCUUUCUUGUAAAUAAGAGCUUUCAAAGAAAAUUACGCUGUUAUCCCUAAAGUAACUUAAUCUUAUAAUCUUUAAUAAAGGAUCAUUCAACACUUACUGAUAAUAAUCAUUUAAAUAUUUAAAACAGUUACUAUUUUUAUUUUUAUCGCCCCAAUAAAAUAAAAUCAGAUAAAAAAAUUUUAAAUAACUAAUUCAUAUUUUUAACUUAAAUUAUUAAGUUUUAUAGGGUCUUAUCGUCACUUUAAUUUAUUUAAGCCUUUUUACUUAAAAGUUAAAUUCAAUAAUUUAAUUUAAGACAGGUUAUUUCUUGUUCGACCAUUCAUACAAGCCUCCAAUUAAAAGACUAAUGACUAUGCUACCUUUGCACGGUCAAAAUACCGCGGCCCUUUAAGNNNCAGUGGGCAGGCCAGACU